rnacentral:rRNA from 1 species
UACGAAGGGGGGCUAGCGUUGCUUGGAAUCACUGGGCGUAAAGCGCACGUAGGCGGAUCUUUAAGUCAGGGGUGAAAUCCUGGAGCUCAACUCCAGAACUGCCUUUGAUACUGGGGAUCUCGAGUCCGGAAGAGGUGAGUGGAACUCCGAGUGUAGAGGUGAAAUUCGUAGAUAUUCGGAAGAACACCAGUGGCGAAGGCGGCUCACUGGUCCGGUACUGACGCUGAGGUGCGAAAAGCGUGGGGGAGCAAACAGGG